AGAUAAACAGUGUAGUCCAGUUUAAAAAAAGAGAGAGAGAGAACUGGUUUUAAAGGCAAUAAAAACACGGAGAUAAUUCAGGGCUCUUUAGUGGCAUCAGAGACACAGAAAGGGGAUGAGAUAGUCAAGAGGCCCUGCCAGAAGCGGCCCUCCCCGAACCUCCAGGGCUUCAGCCAGCGACACGUGCAUAGUACCUGGGAAAGAAGACAUAACUGGUUUAAGAAG